CCCCCCACCCUCGUCGUAAUGUCUGUGAGGGCUGUGUGGGGCUGAUACUGGCCUUCCCGUAUGCACAGCAAUGCGGUUGGCCCAAAUGGAGGAACCCAGGGCGGUGUAUGCCAUGAUGAACGGUGGUGUGUGCUUAGCCUGCCGUCGUUAGAGCAUCAUGCGCAUCAUGCCCUUGAGGUAUGUUUCGUGGACAACCCCGGUGCAAUCAUAGCGCGCAUCGCGACCCCAGGUCAGGCGGGAGCACCCGCUGAGUUUAAGCAUAUCAAUAAGCGGAGGAAAAGAAACUUACCAGGAUUCCCCUAGUAACGGCGAGCGAACCGGGAAUAGCCCAGCUUGAAAAUUGGUCGCCCUCGGCGUUCGAAUUGUAGUCUGGAGAAGCGUCAA
rnacentral:rRNA from 1 species